rnacentral:lncRNA from 1 species
CCGAUUCCAGCUCAACAGCAAACCAUCAUCGUGGCUUCUUUUAAUUUAUUCCUCAAAUUCUAUUUGUUUUCAAUUCGAGAUUCUCGAAUCAGUACAAGUUUGUACUAUUUUUGCCACCUCAACUUUAUCCUUUUUAAAAAAAUUUGAAAACUCCUCAAAUAAUACCCAAAUUACCCCCCGAAUUUUCCUAUCCCACAUCGGUUGGAGCUAGUUUCUAAAUCCCAAAAUUUCUUCUAUAUAAAGCUCAUUGUUGAGCUAAAAGCUCCAAGUCGUGAAGGUAUUAAAAAAUACUUUUAAGCAAAGAGUUGAAAAUUUUACAAUUAAAUUAUUGAUUAAUCAGAGGUAUAAAGGCUGCUUCCAGUGGUGGCGGAUUCCGACGAAACUCGAGGUCUCAUUUUACUGUUCAAAAGUCAAUCAGUCUUCUACUUUUUCUUUUACUAUUGCGUUGUGAUGGUUGUAGCAGUAGUAGUUUCGAGUAUUGC